GUGCUCGCUUCGGCAGCAUACAUACUACAAACUGAACGAUACGGACAAGAUCAGCGUGGCCCCUGCACAAGGGUGACAUGCGAAUUCAUGAACACCCCAAUGUUUAC